rnacentral:rRNA from 1 species
GUCGGGAAUAUUGCACAAUGGGCGAAAGCCUGAUGCAGCGACGCCGUGUGAAUGACGAAGUCCUUCGGGAUGUAAAGUUCUGUCAGCAGGGACGAUAAUGACAGUACCUGCAGAGGAAGCUCCGGCAAACUAUGUGCCAGCAGCCGCGGUAAUACAUAGGGAGCGAGCGUUAUCCGGAUUUAUUGGGCGUAAAGCGCACGUAGGCGGUUUGUUAAGUUAGGAGUUAAAGCAUUGGGCUCAACUCAAUUAUGCUUCUAAGACUGACAAACUAGAGUUUAGGAGAGGGAAGAGGAACUCACGGUGUAGCGGUGAAAUGCGUAGAUAUCGUGAGGAACACCAGUGGCGAAGGCGUCUUCCUGGACUAAAACUGACGCUGAGGUGCGAAAGCGUGGGGAGCAAACAGGAUUAGAUACCCCGGUAGUCC